rnacentral:misc_RNA from 1 species
UCCGAUUUGAAUAUCGGCAGUCUCGUCAGAGUGCCCGGCCGAACCGCUGGCAACAUAGGAAAGGGGUUGCGCUCGUUGCGGGACUUAACCCAACAUCUCACGACACAAGCUGACGACAGCCAUGCACCACCUGUGCACGGCCCCGAAGGACACGGGCUUUCACCCGCUUUACCGUGCAUGUCAAGCCCAGGUAAGGUUCUUCGCGUUGCAUCGAAUUAAUCCACAUGCUCCGCCGCUUGUGCGGGCCCCCGUCAAUUUCUUUGAGUUUUAGCCUUGCGGCCGUACUCCCCAGGCGGGGUACUUAAUGCGUUAGCUACGGCACGGAUCCCAAGGAAGAAACCCACACCUAGUACCCACCGUUUACGGCGUGGACUAC